UACGUAGGGUGCAAGCGUUAAUCGGAAUUACUGGGCGUAAAGCGUGCGCAGGCGGUUAUGUAAGACAGUUGUGAAAUCCCCGGGCUCAACCUGGGAACUGCAUCUGUGACUGCAUAGCUAGAGUACGGUAGAGGGGGAUGGAAUUCCGCGUGUAGCAGUGAAAUGCGUAGAUAUCUGGAGGAAUACCGGUGGCGAAGGCGGCAUCCUGGACCGACAUUGACGCUGAGGAGCGAAAGCCAGGGGAGCAAACGGG
rnacentral:rRNA from 1 species